GGAUGUGAGGGCGACGUGGCUGUGACAUCUGUCACCCCACUGAUCUCCAGGGUGGAUUUGGCUGAUCUGGCUGGCUAGGUGGAUGUCCCCUUCCUCCCUCACCACUCCAUGUGCGUCCCCCCCCAAGCUGCAUACUGGGUCGAAGAGGAAGAGGACGGCCUUUCCCGAAUAGAGAUGGACCAGUCUUCCAUCGAGGGUAAAGAAGCAGCUGUCCUCCCCAGCUAGGACCUCCAGCAAGCUCUCAUGGUCCAUUUGUAGGAGAAAGUAGCUUGGUCAAGCUUCCAGGACUCCAGACACAUCCAAAUGAGGCACCGCCUGUGGCCGUCUGCCUUUCUGA
rnacentral:snRNA from 1 species